GCGGCGGCCUCAAGGCCCAGUUCGCCGGCCGCCCACAGUCCAAACGCUUUGUUCCGGCGGGCCGUGGCCUUGAA
rnacentral:tRNA from 1 species